GACGGGCCUCCUCGCAUUGCGGCUCGGUGAACCUGGUCAGGUCCGGAAGGAAGCAGCCACAGCCGUCAACCGGAAGUGCCGAGGGUCGGGCUCGUCCAC
rnacentral:SRP_RNA from 1 species